rnacentral:lncRNA from 1 species
AUACAGAACACAACAGGCAUCGAAGUUCGUUGGUCGAUGAGUUUGUGUAAUCCAAGGAGAACGGAUCCCACGGUAUUUCAGCACCGGCUACGCGACGUGGGAUCAGUCGUGCACACAGCGCUCUAACCUACACACGCGUGCGCACAUGCAUACGUGAUCUGCACAGAUCGCGUUGAUACAUCAGUACGGAGGUCAAUUGAUCAUGUGAAAGCGAGAGUGACCGGAGUUGAGAGGCGAGGAAAAAGCAGCGCGCACUGCGGGGAUUUCUGAAAACAAUACCUGGUGGACAGUUAAAACACUUCGAUUCUUCGUUUUAUUUCACACUUUAAAAGCAUAAGUGUGAGGAGUUCGUUAAUUGGUUGAAGAUAUUGGUAAUGAAUGAAAUCAUGUAAUGAAAGAAGUUGAUGGUAAAAUAUGAUGAUACACAAGAAAUCCAACCACAGUGUGUGUAUUCUAUAAUGGAAAUUACAGAUUGUUUAAGUAGUUCCUAAAUGAAGAAUUAUUAAACUAAUAUUAGACAAGAAAAAUAGCAUAAUAAGCAGUUGAUUCCGGAUAUGGAAAAGACACGAUACAAGGGCUCCUGGUUCCAAUUCUUCGAGAAAUUGAUAGAUUCGUGGCCAAUGUCUAGUUUGGACUGUCUUUUCGGCACAU